rnacentral:rRNA from 1 species
AUACGGAGGGUCCGAGCGUUAUCCGGAAUCAUUGGGUUUAAAGGGUCCGUAGGCGGGAAUCUAAGUCAGUGGUGAAAUCUUGCAGCUCAACUGUAAAAUUGCCAUUGAUACUGGAUUUCUUGAAUUAGUGUGAAGUGGUUAGAAUGUGUAGUGUAGCGGUGAAAUGCAUAGAUAUUACACAGAAUACCAAUUGCGAAGGCAGAUCACUAACACUAUAUUGACGCUAAGGGACGAAAGCGUGGGGAGCGAACAGGAUUAGAAACCCUGGUAGUCC